AGCGAACGCUGGCGGCAGGCUUAACACAUGCAAGUCGAACGGGCACUUCGGUGUCAGUGGCAGACGGGUGAGUAACACGUGGGAACGUACCUCUUGGUUCGGAACAACACAGGGAAACUUGUGCUAAUACCGGAUAAGCCCUUACGGGGAAAGAUUUAUCGCCGAGAGAUCGGCCCGCGUCUGAUUAGCUAGUUGGUAGGGUAAUGGCCUACCAAGGCGACGAUCAGUAGCUGGUCUGAGAGGAUGAUCAGCCACAUUGGGACUGAGACACGGCCCAAACUCCUACGGGAGGCAGCAGUGGGGAAUAUUGGACAAUGGGGGCAACCCUGAUCCAGCCAUGCCGCGUGAGUGAUGAAGGCCCUAGGGUUGUAAAGCUCUUUUGUGCGGGAAGAUAAUGACGGUACCGCAAGAAUAAGCCCCGGCUAACUUCGUGCCAGCAGCCGCGGUAAUAC
rnacentral:rRNA from 1 species